rnacentral:rRNA from 1 species
GACGUAGGGCGCGAGCGUUGUCCGGAUUUAUUGGGCGUAAAGCGCACGUAGGCGGCUUGGUAUGUCGGAUGUGAAAACCCAGGGCUCAACCCUGGGCCUGCAUUCGAUACGGGCAGACUAGAGUUCGGUAGGGGAGACUGGAAUUCCUGGUGUAGCGGUGAAAUGCGCAGAUAUCGGGAGGAACACCGGUGGCGAAGGCGGGUCUCUGGGCCGAAACUGACGCUGAGGAGCGAAAGCAUGGGGAGCAAACAGG